rnacentral:sRNA from 1 species
UGUUAUACCAGGGUCUGCCGCGACCCUCA